GAUUAGUUUUUAGUUAAGUGAAAAAUUUUUAGUAAUUAUAAAUAAUAAAAGGUAGAAUUUAAUUGUUAUUUUAUAUAAUGUUGAUAAUUUAAAUUGAAACUAUAAAGUCUAAUUAUAAACUAGGAUUAGAUACCCUAUUAUUUUAGAAAGAAAAAAUAAAAACUAAACUAUUAUUAGUUAUAUACUUUAAAAUUAAAAAAUUUGGCGGUGAUUUAAUCUUUUCAGAGGAAUUUGUUUUUUAAUCGAUAAUCCACGAAAAAUCUUACUUGUCUUUGUUUGUUAUAAUUCAGUUUGUAUACCAUCAUUAUCAGAUAAUUCUAAAAAGAAAAAUUAUCAAAUAUAGUUAAUUAUCGAAAUUAGAUCAUGGUGCAGCUUAUAGAUAAGUUAAAAUGAAUUACAAUAAAUUGUUUUAAAUGAAUUGAUAAAAUAAUUUUUAUUAUGAAGGAGGAUUUGAUAGUAUUAUAAUUUUAAUAAGUUUAUAAGACAAUGGCUCUAAAUCAUGUACAUAUCGCCCGUCGCUUU
rnacentral:rRNA from 1 species